UGCCGAGACUAGAAAACAGAGACAGGAAAGAGAUUUGAAACCCAUAGCGUGCAUUUCAAAAUAGUACAGAAGUGGCAAAAAAACUGUGCAAAGAAACACACAAAGAUGAGCACUUAUUUAUCUUUAUCUUGAGUGUUAGAAGAAAGAGAGCAUCAACAAAGUUUGAAAUUGAAUGUGCGGUUACAGACAAUACAGUUGAUGACAGAGGUCCUUGUUUUGAAAGGAAGAAAAUCUCUGAAGAAGCUGAAGUGAGGGAGGAUGAACGAUUUUCUGAACUUCUGCAUAUUCAGUUACUGGUAUGUAAUUCUUCUGAGAAUUUCUUGGAUAUAUACCUACUUGUGGAUCUUUAACUCCAGAUGCUAAUUGA
rnacentral:lncRNA from 1 species